GACGAACCGUGCGAACGUUGUUCGGAAUCACUGGGCUUAAAGGGCGCGUAGGCGGUUGAUCAAGUCUGGGGUGAAAUCUUUCGGCUUAACCGGAAAAGUGCCUUGGAUACUGGUCAGCUGGAGGGAGGUAGGGGCAGUUGGAACUUCCAGUGGAGCGGUGAAAUGCGUUGAUAUUGGAAGGAACGCCGGUGGCGAAAGCGAGCUGCUGGACCUCUUCUGACGCUGAUGCGCGAAAGCUAGGGGAGCAAACGGGAUUAGAUACCCCGGUAGUCCUAGCCCUAAACGUUGGGUACUAGGUAGUGGACUUAACAUGGGUUCACUGCCGAAGCAAAAGUGUUAAGUACCCCGCCUGGGGAGUAUGGUCGCAAGGCUGAA
rnacentral:rRNA from 1 species